AGUGAACGCUGGCGGUAGGCCUAACACAUGCAAGUCGAACGGCAGCACAGGAGAGCUUGCUCCCUCCGGAUCAGUGGCGAACGGGUGAGUAACACGUGAGCAAUCUGCCCCGAACUCUGGGAUAAGCGCUGGAAACGGCGUCUAAUACCGGAUACGACGCGCGAAGGCAUCUUCUGCGCGUGGAAAGAAUUUCGGUUCGGGAUGAGCUCGCGGCCUAUCAGCUAGUUGGUGAGGUAACGGCUCACCAAGGCGACGACGGGUAGCUGGCCUGAGAGGGUGACCGGCCACACUGGGACUGAGACACGGCCCAGACUCCUACGGGAGGCAGCAGUGGGGAAUAUUGCACAAUGGGCGCAAGCCUGAUGCAGCAACGCCGCGUGAGGGACGACGGCCUUCGGGUUGUAAACCUCUUUUAGUAGGGAAGAAGCGAAAGUGACGGUACCUGCAGAAAAAGCACCGGCUAACUACGUGCCAGCCGCCGCCGUAAAAC
rnacentral:rRNA from 1 species